GGGUUCGAUUCCGGAGAGGGAGCCUGAGAAACGGCUACCANNNNCAAGGAAGGCAGCAGGCGCGCAAAUUACCCAAUCCCAACACGGGGAGGUAGUGACAAUAAAUAACAAUAUGGGGCCCUUACGGGUCUCGUAAUUGGAAUGAGUACAAUUUAAAUCUCUUAACGAGGAACAAUUGGAGGGCAAGUCUGGUGCCAGCAGCCGCGGUAAUUCCAGCUCCAAUAGCGUAUAUUAAAGUUGUUGCAGUUAAAAAGCUCGUAGUUGAAUUUCGGAAUUUGUCGGUUGGUCGGGCUUCACUGUCCGCACUGACCUGAUGGAUUCCUACCUUCUGAAUAACCAGCAUGCCAUUAAUUUAGUGCGUUGGGGAAGCAGAGCUAUUACCUUGAAAAAAUUAGAGUGCUUAAAGCAGGCUUGUGCUUGAAUAGAUUAGCAUGGAAUAAUAAAAUAGGACGGCAUGGUUCUAUUUUGUUGGUUUCUAGGAUCACCGUAAUGAUUAAUAGGGAUAGUUGGGGGCAUUA
rnacentral:rRNA from 1 species